rnacentral:lncRNA from 1 species
CAGCUGCGGUGCGCCCCGCCGCCCGCCAGAGGCUCGGCUCGCGCGGCGCGGCCGCUGCGACUUCCUGGAGUUCUGCCUGCCGGGGGCGCGGGCGGGUGUGUGAGAGAGAAGGCGAAGGGAGCCGCGGGGUGGGAGAGGAGGGAGUCCCGGCGGGAGGGCGGGGGAGAGGCUGGCGGGAGGGGGGCUCCACGGAGCUCCAGCCAGGGCCGCGGUUCGCCUGCACGUCACGGCUACUCAAACCCAAGCACGUCCCGAAAGCGGUAUUUUCUGCGUCUGGGAGGUUUUUGCAUCCUCAGUUCCCACCGCUGGGGCUGGCGGCGACCAACUCGCAGACCUGUCGCAGCCAGAGAGCUGUCAUUUCAGUACCGGGAUUCAGAAUUGAUCCAGUCCGCAGCGGAGGGGGCACAUCCCAGCUACCGAGCUGCUGAGUGUCUCUGGCUGGAACAAUAGUAUUUUUUUCUCUGCGAGGCUGCAAUUAACAUCUUAUUUGUUCUGGCUCCAUACAGGCUUUGUCAGGAUCGCGGUGCGGCGACCGACGUUGGGCUCUUGCAUUGCUUUGUGCUUGGCAAUGGAAUCAUGGUUUCGGGAUAGUCAUUUUGCCUCCUGGACAGUUGGCUGACGAAGUGUCUGAUAAACCAGCUUCAGAUACAUGCUACAAAAGGUCAUUCGCCUCCUGAUUAUGUUUCUACUUGUAAACGCAGUUGGUGGUUUGCAAAACAAGUGCUAAAAUAGUGCAGUGAUGUGGUGGGAGGAAACCAUAAUGGGUAAUUCAUAUAAAGUGCUGGAAUCUUCGUAAGGGUGAGUUUCUCGAGCGGCAGGUGAAGUUGAAUAAAGCAAUUUUCCAUCAUUUGUUCCCCUCACUCUUGCAUUUUUUUCCUCCGCUUGUUUCUCU